rnacentral:rRNA from 1 species
UUUAAAGAGAGUUUGAUCCUGGCUCAGGACGAACGCUGGCGGCGUGCCUAAUACAUGCAAGUCGAACGAACGGAGGAAGAGCUUGCUCUUCCAAAGUUAGUGGCGGACGGGUGAGUAACACGUGGGCAACCUGCCUGUAAGUUGGGGAUAACUCCGGGAAACCGGGGCUAAUACCGAAUGAUAGAAUGUGGCGCAUGCCACGCUUUUGAAAGAUGGUUUCGGCUAUCGCUUA